CGUGUUUCCGGGCCGAUGCAUUACUCUUGCACAGUUCAAGACUCUUAUCACAAAGAAGGGAAAUUUCAAAUACUACUUCAAACGUGACAGUGAUGAGUUUGGAGAAGGUGCUGUUUUCGAAGAAAUUGGUGACGAUAAUGCAGUGUUGCCGAUGUGGCAGGAUAAAAUUGUGGCCAAAGUGGAGAAGAUCGACUAACUUCCAAGCUAAAAUGUUGUCAUGACGUUACGGGCGACGUGGCUUGGUAACAAUCAAAUGGCAAACACGAAGCAAUCUCCGUAGUUUCUUUGGAAAAAGUUGUAUUCUUUCGUUCAGGGAAUUACUUAAAGAGUACCACUCAAAGAGACGGUGAUAGUCUGCUUCAAUCAAGGUCCACAGUCAUGGCAAAUGCUUUAAACUAUGUGACUUUGGCAUCUUUUGCAACGUCACUGUGACCUCGACAACGUCACUGUGACAUCUUCAACUACAACCAAAGACCAUGCACUGACUGUGAUUUCGCAAGCUGUAUGCUUCGUUGAACAAUGAAAGCACUAAAUGGCAGAACAAACUCUGGAAUGUCCAAAGAUCAUGUGAUACAGAGAGAAUAUUUGUUUUGGUAGCACUGACAUCUGUUAUCUCCAAGAUAACCGAUUUUGGAGUGGUUAGAUUUGAAGAUGCUUUCUUUAUAUUGUGCAUGAGAAAGGUAACUUUGGCAGUGCUAUGAGAAACCAUGGACUGCCAAGAGAAAUGUGUGCUCAAAGAUUUGGUGAGAACAUUGCAGGCUUGAGAAAGACAAAUCUGAACACGUGAAGAAACUGAAGCAUUCACUUUACAGAACAGAGCUGUUCACUGUCUAUGGGCCCACAAGGUCUAAUUAACUACGAGUUAUGAUGUAAUAUAUGUACAUAGUUGUCCAAUAUUUGAAGAUUAUCUUAUUGACUCAGGGGCUGCUCAUCGAAAGUGAGCUAUUCUAUUCUGUUUUAUUGUCAAACCUACCACCCCCCUCUAUGGUUUGAACGUGGCCUCAGUGUAGAGCCCUUUAGUUGAGAAUGGUCAGCGAGGUUUUACCCACACACAGUGGUGUUUUAGCAUGUUUAUAUUACUGAAGACAAGAUAGUUGUACACUUAUUUGUGGUGAAUUAUUUAAACGGCUUAGCCAUGACAUCUUGUUGUCAGAGUAUUGUUUGUUGUAAUUUAUUUUUGUUGGCCAAUUUCAUCAUGACCCUAAACUAAACAUACACAUACCAAUUUACGUUUUUAAUCAAAAUUAGUAUCAGGGUUUUUAAUUCAAAUGCCAUUACUGAAUGCUUGCAUUUUAAACAAAUUAAAGCGUAGAAUCAAAUGUAUUUUUUGAUGUAUAAUUCAUUUUUGGCAUUUCACAUAGCGAGGUUCAUUCAUAUGCUGUAAGUGUUUUAAACUUUUGAUAAUACUCAUCCCAUCAUUCUAGUCUCCCUACCUACAUCAUUGGUUGGUUUCAACCGCAACAAUGCAUUGGGCCAGUUUAAGUCAGAGAGUAGGGUGUGCAGGUAGUUGCUAUGGCAUUAUGUGCAGUAUGUGUGAACGGGUGUAACUGUCAUGCUGUCACAGGGUACAAGCCUUACGUACAAUUCAUUUAUAAAACAUAUCAAAUGUUCAAAUGUAAAUUGAAAACUUGUACUGUAUCCUUGUCAGACUUGCAAGCAAGACAAUUGACCUUGACAUCGAUUCCCAAGGUCAGCAAGACAUGUUCAGAUGGAGUUGUGACAGGGUUGGGGGGGUGGGGGGAGGGGGAUUCUGAAUGACCUGGUUGUAUGAGGGAGUACCCUCAUUGUGUACAUGAUGAGAAGCAUAGGGUAUGUAACAUAAUCAACUUUUAAUGAAUUCUGUGCUGAAAGACUCGUAUAUUGGUCAGGAACCUGUCAGGCCACCAAUAAAAUUGACUUUCAAAGUU